rnacentral:rRNA from 1 species
UACGGAAGGUGCAAGCGUUAAUCGGAAUUACUGGGCGUAAAGCGCACGCAGGUGGCUGAGUCAGUCGAUUGUGAAAGCCCUGGGCUUAACCUGGGAAUUGCAGUCGAUACUACUCAGUUAGAGUAUGGGAGAGGGUAGUGGAAUUCCCGGUGUAGCGGUGAAAUGCGUAGAUAUCGGGAGGAACAUCAGUGGCGAAGGCGGCUACCUGGCCCAAUACUGACACUCAGGUGCGACAGCGUGGGGAGCAAACAGG